CUGAAUCUUGUCAACCCCCUUCUGGGCUUUGUGGUGUGUUGAUAUAGCUAUAUUUACUUACUCUGAAGUUAUGGUGGGAAAGGAUCUGCUUAGUUUGAUUUGAUAUCUUUAAUCACUGCACAAUAUUUUGAGUAGGUUCUCUUUGUCAGUACGUGAUGCGGUGCUGUUUAUAAUUAUAUAUUCUUCUAUUCGGAUUAGAUAACUGCUACCCAUUUCAUUUUGUAUAUGAUGGUAUGAGCAUGGUUAUAAUAGCCAUUUUUGUUAACCAGGAGAAGAUAAAUAAUUUAUAAGUCUUGGUUUGCCUGAAUGGAUCCAGUGACGGACGAACAAUUAGAUCAUGGAGAUGGGGAAUAUGGUCCAAAAAUGCAAUACCAUCAAGCUGGAGCUAUACCUGCGCUUGCAGAGGAAGAAAUGAUAGGGGAGGAUGAUGAAUACGAUGAUCUCUACAAUGAUGUUAAUGUUGGAGAGGGUUUCCUGCAGUUGCCGCAGUCUGAUGCACAAAUGCGUGCUCUUGGUGUUGGCAAUAGUGGAUCCCAAGUUCCAAAAGCUAAUGUUUCCGACGCUAGAAAUGAAGCAAGAGUCUUAAAAGAGUUAAACAGUCCUGGAGUUGCUAAUGAACAGAAUUAUGCUUCCGCUGGAAUCCAGUGUCCUGAGCAGAAGAGUGGCUUGCCAUCUGAAAGGGGACCUGAACAGAUUGUUGAUGCCUCACAAAGGGGAAGGAUAUCUGAGAUGACUCAUAAAUCUCAAGCAGGAUAUUUAGGAUUUCAAGGACCAGUUCCUAUGCCCCAGAAAAUUGCUGCAGAUUCAAUUAGCAUGUCAGGGAAAGUAGCUGGUGAACCUUCUCCUUUACCAAAUCCUAUUGUGGGCAGCUCAAGAGUUGUUCCUGAGAUUCCAGCUAGUAGAAUGAAUUCAACUGCAAAUGUGAUUGUGAAUCACAUGGUUAAUAAUGAUAAUCUGAUACGACCAACUGUAGAAAAUGGAAAUACGAUGCUCUUUGUCGGAGAGUUACAUUGGUGGACAACAGAUGCUGAGCUUGAGACUGUGCUCUCCCAGUACGGGAUGGUCAAGGAAAUUAAGUUUUUUGAUGAGAGAGCUAGUGGUAAAUCCAAAGGCUAUUGUCAAGUUGAAUUCUAUGAUCCAGCUUCUGCUUCUGCUUGCAAAGACGGAAUGAAUGGUCAUCUUUUUAACGGGCGUGCUUGUGUUGUGACAUUUGCCACUCCACAGACCAUAAAACAGAUGGGUGCCUCUUACAUGAACAAGACCCAGGCCCAGGCUCCGUCUCAGCCCCAGGGAAGGAGACCCAUGAAUGAUGGAGCAGGAAGGGGUAAUGGAGCAAAUUAUCCCAGUGGAGAUGCAGGGAGGAAUUUUGGACGAGGUGGGUGGGGACGAGGUGGGCAGCAAAUGCCUAACAGAGGUCCUGCAGCUGGACCUGUUAGAGGAAGAGGAUCUAUGGGAACAAAGAAUAUGAUUGGGAAUGCACCUGGUUCGAGUGCGGGUGCUGGUGGCGGACCCUAUGGACAAGGCGUGGCAGGCGGCCCUGCUUUUGGUGGACAUCCUGGUAUGGUGCAUCCGCAUGGCAUGAUGGGUCCUGGAUUUGAUCCUGCAUUUAUGGGUCGAGGAGCUGGUUAUGGAGGCUUCUCAGGUCAUGCUUUCCCAGGGAUGCUUCCUCCAUUUCCAGCUGUUAAUCCAAUGGGGCUACCUGGAGUGGCUCCUCAUGUCAACCCUGCCUUUUUCAGUCGAGGAAUGGCUCCAAAUGGGAUGGGUAUGAUGGGGACUGCAGGAAUGGAUGGACCUCAUUGGGGAAUGUGGAAUGACCCAAACAUGGGUGGAUGGGGAGGAGAAGAACAAGGCCGAGGGACCCGAGAAUCUAGUUAUGGUGGUGAAGAUAAUGCUUCUGAAUAUGGAGAAGCAAGUCUUGAUAAAGGAGUAAGGUCUAGUGCUGCUCCUCGUGAAAAGGAACGGAACUCUGAGCGUGACUGGUCAAGUAACUCUGAGAAGAGGCCUCGUGAUGAGAGGGAGAAUGACCGGGAUAGGUAUGAUAGAGAGUACAAGUACAGGGAAGAGAAAGAUGGGUACCGAGACUAUCGCAACAAAGAACGUGAAUUGGGUUAUGAGGAUGACUGGGAUAGAGGACAAUCUUCACGAUCACGUAGCAGAUCACGAGCAGUGCCAGAAGAGGAUCACAGAUCUCGAUCGAGGGAUGCAGAUUAUGGGAAACGUAGACACAUACCGUCUAAAUGAUGUUAUGCAUAAUGGGUCUUCUAGGGAUGAGAACCUUGGUAAUUGCUAAGCAUAUUUCCAGAUUGAGUGAAUUAUUUUCAGUCUCUGGCUUAUGAUGGCUCCAUAUGCUGCGUGCCUUCUGAUUUGGAAAGAGCGAAGACGCGAACUGCUGUUAUUUUAUUAAGAUCUCUGAGUUUGGAUACCUGGAGGAAGAAAAUUUAAUUGGUGAUUUCUCGGAUAUUUCUCAAAAUGCUAGUAUCUAUGUAGCAUCACGAACAAGCCUUAAUCAAAUAGGUCAUUGCUUUGAAUUCCCCAAGCAUGCUAUUAAAUUUUGAGUCAUGAUCCUGCGACGAUUUGUGUGAAAAGUCUCCAACAUUGGAAAUGAUCAAUUAUCAGAGAAAUUUAAGCUUUAUUCCGUGGAAAGAGCAAUUUUUUGAGCUGUGUAUAGUAAUUUCCUUGUAGUAGGUACUACGCAUGUAAUUGUUUCAUUUUGAAAUGUUUGUCUCACAUCUCCCGGUUGUAAAACUAUUGUACCAAGCCCAGACGAUGCUGUAAUUGGCGUUAGUACGUAUUUAGAAUUCAAUGUACAUAUUGAAGUGUCAUUCUCUUGCAACCUUAAAAUGCUUUGAGAUAUACACCGGCUCCAUCUCAAAAUCAUGCAUGUUUAUCGCUUAUAAGUUUCUCAUUUGCACACCGCAUCUGUUAUUGAUGACUGGUGCUGUGUCGAGUUUCUGCUAUUUCUUGUAACAUAGGUGACUUCCCAGUUGCAAGUACUCAUUUUAGCGUUUGAAGAAUCUGCGUUUGUUAACUUAUAAUGUUAUUUCUCCAUUAGAUCGAGACACAUUCGAUGUACUCCCAGUCCAUGAUGUAAACCCCAUAGGGAUUUAUUUGGUACAAAUUGCUAUGAGAUGUAUUCUCUCUGGGCUGUGUUUUUCAAGAAUUGUAAAUUGUUCCUUGGUAUCUGAAGUUGUUGCCAACUCAUCGAACUAAUUAGUUUGCUCGAGAAUUUAGGAUAUGUACUGUUAUUGUUA